rnacentral:rRNA from 1 species
UACAGAGGUGGCAAGCGUUGUUCGGAAUUACUGGGCGUAAAGGGCUCGUAGGCGGCCAACUAAGUCAUACGUGAAAUCCCUCGGCUUAACCGGGGAACUGCGUCUGAUACUGGAUGGCUUGAGUUCGGGAGAGGGAUGCGGAAUUCCAGGCGUAGCGGUGAAAUGCGUAGAUAUCUGGAGGAACACCGGUGGCGAAGGCGGCAUCCUGGACCGAUACUGACGCUGAGGAGCGAAAGCCAGGGGAGCAAAGCGGG